AUACCAUAUUAUCCCCAUUUUGCAGAUGAGGAGACAGAAGUGGAGAGAGGUGAAGUGACUUGCUCAACAUCACACAGUUGCCUUCCCACGUGUGUGAGACCAUUGCUGUGGAAAGAAGCCGGGCCUGACUUCAGGGAUCUGGUGUGAAAUGACUGGACCCAUGCGUUCUGAGUAAACAAGAGAGCCCCUUCUGGCUUCUCCGGGAGGAACCAAAUGGCUUCAGCAUUCAGCUCCAAAGCCCGAUGGAGACCAAGAGUGAUACACUGUACUCAUGAUCAACUGCUCAGUUCUGGUUUGGGCCUCUGAGGGCUGAUGGGGUUUGGCAGAACCUCCAGCACAAUGUUGAAUGGAAAUGGUGAUAGUGGGCAUCUUGUCUUGUACCCAGUCUCACUAUGUGGAAGCUUCACUAUUUCACAAUGAAGGCCCAGCACGGUGACUCAAACCUGUAAUCCCAGCACUUUGGAGGGCUGAGGCAAGUGGAUCACCUGAGAUCAGGAGUUCAAGACCAGUCAAGACCAGCCUGGCCAACAUGGUGAAACCCCAUCUCUACUAAAAAUACAAAAACAAACAAACAAAAAAAUCAGCCAGCUGUGGUGGCGCAUGCCUGUAGUCCCAGCUACUCGGGAGGCUGAGGCAGGAGAAUCACUUGAACCCAAGAGGAGGAAGUUGCAGGAGUCAAGAUCAUACAACUGCAUUCCAGCCUGGGUGACAGAGCAAGACUCCAUCUCAAAAAAAAAAAAAUUCACAAUGAAGUAUGUUGUUUGCUGAAGGUUUUCAUAGAUGCCCUUUGCCAGGUUGAGGAAGCUCCCUUCUGUUCCUAAUGUGUUGAGACUUUUAUCAUGAAUGUGUGUUAAAUUUUGUAAAAUGCUUUUUACGCAUUUAUCAUGAUUUUUCUCCUUUUUACUGUUAGGUGAAUUACAAUGAUUGGUUUUUGAUUGUUAAACCACCCUUGAAUUCCUGGAUUAAAACUCAUCUAGUCGUAAUGAA